rnacentral:rRNA from 1 species
GACGAACGCUGGCGGCGUGCCUAAUACAUGCAAGUAGAACGCACAGUUUAUACCGUAGCUUGCUACACCAUAGACUGUGAGUUGCGAACGGGUGAGUAACGCGUAGGUAACCUGCCUGGUAGCGGGGGAUAACUAUUGGAAACGAUAGCUAAUACCGCAUAAUAUUGAUUAUUGCAUGAUAAUUGAUUGAAAGAUGCUAUUGCAUCACUACCAGAUGGACCUGCGUUGUAUUAGCUAGUAGGUGAGGUAACGGCUCACCUAGGCGACGAUACAUAGCCGACCUGAGAGGGGGAUCGGCCACACUGGGACUGAGACAAGGCCCAGACUCCUACGGGAAGCAGCAGGAGGGAAUCUUCGGCAAUGGACGAAAGGCUGAACGAGCAACGCCGGGGGGGUGAAGAAGGUUUUCGGAUCGUAAAGCUCUGUUGUAAGAGAAGAACGGGUGUGGGAGUGGAAAGUUCACACUGUGACGGUAUCUUAUCAGAAAGGGACGGCUAACUACGUG